rnacentral:lncRNA from 1 species
UUGGGACUAGUUUUAGUGGUACUACUUUAAAAUAAAAAAAAAAACAUUAAUUUAUCUUGGUAUCACAAAAAAUAUCAUCUUUUUUUUUUUUUUUUUUUGUUUAUCAGAAAAUUCAUUUGUGGAUGGUACUGGAUUAGGCACAGGAUCACGUUUUAGACUCCCUCCUUUUCCUUUCAUAGCCAUAGCGUUACUCAUGAUACCAAUAACAAUGGUGAGGACAACUGAAACAAAUGCUGAACCCAGUUCUGUUGUACUACAGUGUCGGUUUAAAACAGCAUAAACUUUAUCUUGGUAAAAAAUAAAUAUAAAUGUUAUUUCCGACAACAUUUUUAUCCAAAUGCUGCCACUCUUCAUUGAUUGCACAUUAGCCGAUACCCAAUUACCAUCAGGAAAGUAUCAUUGAUUGUUGAUUGCUGAACGUCCAGUGGCAAAUAUUUCAUGCAUAUUCAGGACGAGAACAAGUUAACAAUAAAUACACUAGGUAGGUUGUUGUAAUAGAGGUCAUCUAGGAUGGUCGGGGAAAUUUGGACUGCCACUGGAAAAGAGGGUAUAUUGGAUAGGGACAGAAAUUUUGCCUUGCAACAGGCCACCUACGGACCCCUCAAAGAGUUGUUGCAUGGGUUCUAACGUGCAAAGAGCGUGGCACUCUCUUAACACGAGGCAUCGGAUUUAACGUCCCCCUUCUGACCGGACGUGACCGCGAACUUGAUGCAUCCCUCACAGCCAAACGGACGCCCCACUUCGGCAAGCGUUUUGGUCGGGAGAAGACCAAGUGACCAUAUUUCUAUACCCCAGUCACCCUUGGGGGAAGGAAAGUAUCAACUUGUAUUUGGGGGGGACUAAAUUAAACCUGGCUCAAUAUCAAAUGAACAAGAGAUUCAUUUGAGCCAUACGAGUCCAACUUAUUUCCCUGCACAAAAGUGAAAUCACAAUAAUACUGACAAUUCGAAAUCAGAGUCCCUAAUCAAAUGGCAAUUUCAAAAGCUGAAACACAUCAAACGAACGGAACACAUCAGCCAUAUUCCUAUAGUUGAUACAGGCAUUUUCUGAAGUGGAAAAAUGUAGAGUAAACCUUGCUGGAUCUAUAUUUACGUCGACACUUUAACUGAACAUUACGUAAUACACUUUACUACAGUAAGGGUCAUAAUCAUUAAACAUUUCAAAGAUCUGUUAAGUAAGUCAAUAAGUAAGAAAAUUUUAUUUUGAUUCUGCAA